rnacentral:rRNA from 1 species
GAUGAACGCUAGCUACAGGCUUAACACAUGCAAGUCGAGGGACCGGCGCACGGGUGAGUAACACGUAUCCAACCUGCCCUUUACUCAGGGCUAGCCUUUCGAAAGAAAGAUUAAUACCCGAUGUAAAGUUUGGGGAUGCGUUCCAUUAGUUUGUUGGUGAUGUAACGGCUCACCAAGCCUUCGAUGGAUAGGGGUACUGAGAGGAAGGUCCCCCAGAUUGGAACUGAGACACGGUCCAAACUCCUACGGGAGGCAGCAGUGAGGAAUAUUGGUCAAUGGGCGUUAGCCUGAACCAGCCAAGUAGCGUGAAGGAUGAAGGCUUAUGGGUCGUAAACUUCUUUUAUAUAAGAAUAUGUAUUAUAUGAAUAAGGAUAGGCUAACUCCGUGCCAGCAGCCGCGGUAAUAC